rnacentral:ncRNA from 1 species
UUAAAAAAAGAGAGAUUUAAUUUAAUUCUUAUUUUUAAAAAUAAUGGGAAAUAAGGAAAA